AGUUUGGACCAUCCAUUCGCUGUAUAAAUGCCAACAACUGCCCCUGUGCAUGGGAACUCAACGGCCUGCAGCGUUGGGAGUUUAGAAAGCUUUAGAAGUUGACGCCUGUGAACAAUUCUCUCCCUUCCUGAGUAAUUUGUCUCCUUUAAGAAGCCCAAGAAGAAGAUGGGAAAAGAGCUCACCUGCACACAGGAAGUCUGCUUCAGCGGAUUUCAUGAAGGCUGUGCACAUCAAGAGAUAAACUUGAGCCUACCAACGCAUGCAAUGGAAAAUGAUGAUUUUCCAGUCUCUGCAACCAACCGCAAGUGAACCUACUGAUAAAGAUGUUGAGUUGAGGAUGGAACUGCUAACUAAAAUAAAAUCUGUGCUGCAGAUGAUAUAAUGGCAAAUCCAU